rnacentral:rRNA from 1 species
UGAGGAAUAUUGGGCAAUGCCCGCAAGGGUGACCCAGCAACGCCGCGUGGAGGAUGAAUGUCGUAAGACUGUAAACUCCUGUUAGAGGGGAAGAAUAGUACCGGUUGGACCGGUAUACGACUGUACCCUCAGAGAAAGCCCCGGCUAACUACGUGCCGGCAGCCGCGGUAAUACGUAGGGGGCAAGCGUUGUCCGGAUUUACUGGGUGUAAAGGGCGCGCAGGCGGGAUAAAAAGUCAGUGGUGAAAUCCUACAGCUUAACUGUAGAACUGCCUUUGAUACUUUUAUUCUUGAGUUCGGGAGAGAGAGACGGAAUUCUAGGUGUAGUGGUGAAAUACGUAGAUAUCUGAAGAACACCAGUUGCGAAGGCGGUCUCUUGGUCCGACACUGACGCUGAGGCGCGAAAGCGUGGGGAGCAAACA